rnacentral:rRNA from 1 species
UCCUCCAUUGGCGUAGCCUGACGGAGCAUACCGCGUGAGGGAGGAAGGCUCUUGGGUCGUAAACCUCUUUUCUCAAGGAAGAAGAAAGUGACGGUACUUGAGGAAUAAGCAUCGGCUAACUCCGUGCCAGCAGCCGCGGUAAUACGGAGGAUGCAAGCGUUAUCCGGAAUGAUUGGGCGUAAAGGGUCUGCAGGUGGAACUGAAAGUCUGCUGUUAAAGAGUUUGGCUUAACCAAAUAAAAGCGGUGGAAACUACAGAACUAGAGUGCGGUAGGGGCAAAAGGAAUUCCUGGUGUAGCGGUGAAAUGCGUAGAUAUCAGGAAGAACACCGGUGGCGAAAGCGUUUUGCUAGACCGUAACUGACACUGAGGGACGAAAGCUAGGGGAGCGAAUGGGAUUAGAUACCCCAGUAGUCCUAGCCGUAAACGAUGGAUACUAGGCGUGGCUUGUAUCGACCCGAGCCGUGCCGGAGCUAACGCGUUAAGUAUCCCGCCUGGGGAGUACGCACGCAAGUGUGAAACUCAAAGGAAUUGACGGGGGCCCGCACAAGCGGUGGAGUAUGUGGUUUAAUUCGAUGCAACGCGAAGAACCUUACCAAGACUUGACAUCCUGCGAAUCCCGGUGAAAGCUGGGAGUGCCUUAGGGAGCGCAGAGACAGGUGGUGCAUGGCUGUCGUCAGCUCGUGUCGUGAGAUGUUGGGUUAAGUCCCGCAACGAGCGCAACCCUCGUUUUUAGUUGCCAGCAUUAAGUUGGGCACUCUAGAGAGACUGCCGGUGACAAACCGGAGGAAGGUGAGGAUGACGUCAAGUCAGCAUGCCCCCUUACGUCUUGGGGCUACACACGUUACUACAAAUGCUUACGGGAACAGAAGG